rnacentral:tRNA from 1 species
AUUCUCGUGGUGUAAAACACAUGACAACUUCAAUGUCAAAUUAGCUACAGGCUCCAGAAUA